UCACGUGUUUCAGAAUCUCCAUGUGUUGGCCAGAGAGGGAAAAACAACGAACAUAGUUUACAAAAAUGUACUAUAGUAAUAAGGCCCCUUAUUUUUAGCUUCCUACAUUAUUAUACUACUUACAUUAAGUUAGUACAUCCUACGUAGACGAUGUUGCGGAUGUCACACUGUCUAACAUCGAGGGUUGGCAGAAAACAUUCGGAGCUAUCCAUUAUGUGCUUAGGUUGCUUUUGAAGAGAUUUUGAUGUGAAGUUGAGGACCGCAACACGAUAGUGGGACAUUGUUGCAGGGGGACUUACAGCCGGGAGAAAACGAAAAAACUUAUGCGGACGAAGUCGCGGAUACAAGGACAAAUUUAUCGCUUACUUGGGGCACUGUUACCAUUACCUGAUGCAUAUCAUUAACUUUUACAAAUUUUUUUAUGGCCAAUUCAUAUGCGGAAGUUGAUAAUCGUUGUGCUCACAA